rnacentral:rRNA from 1 species
CUACGGGGGGCUCCAGUGAGGAAUAUUGCACAAUGGAGGAAACUCUGAUGCAGCAACGCCGCGUGGAGGAUGACGCAUUUCGGUGUGUAAACUCCUUUUAUAUGUCAAGAAAAUGACGGUAGCAUAUGAAUAAGCUCCGGCUAACUCCGUGCCAGCAGCCGCGGUAAUACGGGAGGGAGCAAGCGUUACUCGGAAUCACUGGGCGGAAAGGACGCGUAGGCGGGAUAGAAAGGCAGGUGUGAAAUCCUAUGGCUCAACCAUAGAACUGCACUUGAAAAUUCUAACCUAGAGUAUGGGAGGGGAAGAUGGAAUUAGUGGUGUAGGGGUAAAAUCCGUAGAUAUCACUAGGAAUACCAAAAGCGAAGGCGAUCUUCUGGAACAAUACUGACGCUAAGGCGUGAAAGCGUGGGGAGCAAACAGGAUUAGAUACCCCGGUAGUC